UAGGGAAUCUUCCGCAAUGGACGAAAGUCUGACGGAGCAACGCCGCGUGAGUGAAGAAGGAUUUCGGUUCGUAAAACUCUGUUGUUAGGGAAGAAAAAAUGUAUAGUAACUAUAUACAAAAGAGACGGUACCUAACCAGAAAGCCACGGCUAACUACGUGCCAGCAGCCGCGGUAAUACGUAGGUGGCAAGCGUUGUCCGGAAUUAUUGGGCGUAAAGCGCGCGCAGGUGGUUUAGAAAGUCUGAUGUGAAAGCCCACGGCUCAACCGUGGAGGGUCAUUGGAAACUAAUAAACUUGAGUGCAGGAGAGAAAAGCGGAAUUCCUAGUGUAGCGGUGAAAUGCGUAGAGAUUAGGAGGAACACCGGUGGCGAACGCGGCUUUUUGGCCUGCAACUGACACUGAGGCGCGAAAGCGUGGGGAGCAAACAGG
rnacentral:rRNA from 1 species